UUUUUAGAAAGAGCGAUCUCUGUUCAUCCGUCGGAAUUAAGAGAUGAAAUUCUCAGUAGCAAUUUCGUUCAAUUUGAGUUUAAUAUUUAGAUUCUUUUCUACUUGUUAAGUAAUAGAUUUGAGAAUCUGAUAAACAAAAUUGGUUCAUGAAAACCUAACUUUUUUGAUUUUAACGAGAGUCUCUCUCUGAUUCGUAAUCAUUAUCUUCGUUUUGAAAAUCCAAUUUGUAAUCCGAACAUCUUAAUCUCUUUCACCCAUCAAAUCUUUUAAAAUAACAUCGAUUUUUCGACCUAAAUUCAUAUAUGUUCUAUGUUUCGUCUUCAAGCUAUUACGCAGGGGAAAUACGAUGAGACUAUGAUAUUGAUUGAUGAGAUGUGAAGAGGAUAAUGUAAAUAAGGUGAAAAAUGUCUUCACCUCAGGAUCCGUUUUACAUUGCUGAGAAUGAAAUUCAAGAAUCUAUACUGUGUAUUCUUAAUCAUCAGAUACUGUAAAGAUUAGCCGAGAAUUUCAAAUUGGAAUGUCUUGUCCAAAAUCAACUAAAUUCGGCUGGAUUUUGGUAAAUUUCACAACGGAAUGUACAUUGUAUACUUUAAUAAUUGAUAUCCUUCAUAUCCAGCUCGGUAUCAUUGAAUUUCCCAGCUAAUUUUGAAGAUUCGGUGGGGUUAUUUUAUCGACUUAGUCAAACCUGGUUUUAUUGCUUAUGGUUUUUAUCAUUUUUCGAUAUUCAAGUAAUCAACAAGAAAGAUGAUCACAAUUGCUCAAUAAACUUGCUGCAAGUUUGAAUAGUUUGGAUACAUGAGAGGAUGUACUGGAGCCUCAUAAUGGUAAAAGAUGCAGAAUAGAUGCAUAUCCAGUGUUUAUUCUGAAUUUAGGUUGCCCUAAAUCCAGUUAUGGUUUGACUUUUGAACCAUCAAAGACGCUCGUUGAGUUCAAGGACUGGAUUCCAAUACUUGUUCGCAGUUUUGACUGUUUAUGUUUGUGGUUGUUCUUCUUUCGACAGCUUUGAUGGUAUGCAUUAUAAUGUCUCUCUAAUUUUCAGAUGAGGUCUAGCAUCAUAACAUUUCGUCUUUAAGGAACUACCUUCCUGAGAUACCAAUACUGGCCUUGACAGUUGUUCCUAUAAAUGCGGAAUUAUAUGAUGUAGAUGGAAAGCUUGGUGAUGUUAUGAUUGGACAGGUGAUCAAUUAGCCGAAAGUGUUCAGCAUUUUAGGCAAUAGACCAUGCCACUAUGGUUAUUGGAUUCUAAUACUCUCAAGCAGCAGUUUUUUCUUUCUUACUUUGUUUCAUUUUUUGAUGUUUGUCGUCUUCUUCGAUGUUGUUUGGACGAAGAAUUCGUAUGGUAUU